rnacentral:snoRNA from 1 species
CCCCUCUCAGGGUUGCACCUGGAGGGUUUCCAGUACUCUACCAGUCUGGACUAUAGUAGGGAGAGUCAAGCCGAGGCAUACCCAUUCCAUUCCUAGCUUGAGCAGUAGCUAGAGAGUGGAAGGCAAUCUGCUACAAGU